GGAGUCUGGGCCGUGUCUCAGUCCCAAUGUGGCCGUCCGCCCUCUCAGGCCGGCUACCGAUCGUCGCUUUGGUGGGCCGUUACCCCGCCAACUGGCUAAUCGGACGCGGGUCCAUCUCAUACCACCGGAGUUUUUCACACUGUGCCAUGCAGCACCGUGCGCUUAUGCGGUAUUACCAGUCGUUUCCAACUGCUAUCCCCCUGUAUGAGGCAGGUUACCCACGCGUUACUCACCCGUCCGCCACUAAGUUUAGAAUCACUAGGUUUCAUCUAAACUCCGUUCGACUUGCAUGUGUUAGGCACGCCGCCAGCGUUCAUC
rnacentral:rRNA from 1 species